UCGAUCUUAGCCAUCAUACCCAUCACGUCGACCACCAUCUUCUCUGCCCAUCAAAUCUCUCAAUUCUCGAUCUCACAGAAGUAACAGCAACCAUGACUGAAACGGUGGUGGUGGAGAAACAGAAGAUCGAGAGCAUAAGAAGAAAGAAGUGGAAAUGGUGGAGAUCUGGAGAGGGGUAAUUGGGUCAGUUUCAAUUAAAAAGAUUUCUCUGUCCAUUUGACCCAGGCUGAAUCCUAACUGUCCAUUUAGCCCAAAAAACACACAAUUCUGGCUAUAUAGUCCAUUUUCUAGAGGAUUAACCGGAAACAUGCCUCUUUUUCUUUAUUUUCUUUGUUGUGACACCAUCUUCUUCUUUCCCAUUUUCUAUUACUACUUCACCACGGCUACGAGCAAGAAAGAAGACUUUGUUCUUUUGAAACUGAAUUCGAAUGAAGAAGACGUUUUGAUUGUUUCAAAUCAAAAUCCCGGCUAAACCCACCUUUUAUUUUGGCGAGGAGUUUGUAUCAUGCAAAGAGUACGAAGCGAGAUUGAGGCAGUAAGCUUGGAAAGAGCUUACGGCAAGAAGCAUUUGAGCAAAAGCCGGUAUUUUUGCUUGUAUCUCUGAUAUGUAUAUCACGGGGUACCUGGGUAGUUUAGUUUGUUUGCCUUGAUUACAUGUCAUUUUUGUACAUUUUGCAGUUAUCAUUGGAAUCUUGUACAUGAUCUUUAUAUGGUCUGUAACCUUAAGCUUGCCGGUUUCGUAUACGAUGGGUCUGGUUUUGGGUGUUGCAACAGUGCUUUUGAAUCCCAUUUGUUGUGAAAUAUCUAUGUACUGCAGGCAUACUCAUUUACGUGUCAUAAAGUGCUCGUUUGAUUUUUUUAAAAACUCUUGAACUUGAUUAAUUUUGUUGUGUUGGAUCAUGGUAUAAAAUAUGCAUAUUUUCUCUACUGUUUUAGCAUACCGUUUGAUAUACACUGAGGCUGUUUUGAACUAAGCUAUUUUUGCGUACAAAAAACUUGGUGUGAAUUGUUGCUUUAUGAAAAUGAAAUAUGAUGUCUUUAAUAUUUCUGCUUCUUAAAAAAGAAUGUACUUAACUCAUUUUGUUCGAAACUGUUGAGUAGUUUUAGUUUGGACUGUGCACAAUGCACUUAAGUUUUACGAUGUGUAAAAUUUUCAUUUCUGUUCUUGCCUCUUGUCUUUUACUUAAACUAUGCCAGAGCUGGGUGUCAAUUAUUCAAUGUACUUAAGGCUUUAUGUAUUUAUUCUUUUAUGAGAAUCCCAUUUUUGCAAAUGUAUUGCAUUGUAAGUAAAUGGUCCACGCAAUCUCAUCUAAGUUCUAUUAUAUCCUUUUAUUGUGUUUUAUUUUUCUAAGUUUUAUUAUAUAUUUUUAUUAUGUUUUAUUUUUCUUUUGUUGUCAAUCUUUUGUGUUUUCGAGUGACGUGAUGGGAGGUUUGUGCUUGCCAGUCGGGCGGAUCCUGAUCGGCGGAAGUCCAAAUUUCCUGUCUGUUACAAUUUGGUAUCAGAGGAGUUCUGAUUCACUUGGGACUGUGAGUUUUGUACUUACUUAAUUUCCGGUGCCGUGUACUUGAUUUUAAGACGUAAACAAAUUGUUUUGGCUUGUUUCGCCCAACGGUUUCAUUUCAGUUUUGAUAAAUGGAAGGUUGUUUUCGGUUUUAUCGAAUUAUUUUGAGGCUGGGUAAAACUAUCUAGAUACCACGAUAUACAUAUCUUUAGUUGUGUUAGUAAUGUACAUUACUAUCCAGUUGUGAAUCUGAGGCAUUUUAUAUUUUGAAGAUAUCGCGGUGUGCGAAAUUCGUAGCCUCGAGCUUUGUACGUAAGAAGAACCCGAACGGAAGUAAAGAGCACCUUGAUAAUAAUUUAGAAAAACUUGUAGGUUCAGUAUGAUUGUCGUUUACAUUGUUAGAGACUGGGAAGUCGAGUACUGCUGUAGACUCGAGGGAUUUUUUCUUGAAGUUAUGGAAAUUGAGUGGAUAUCAGUAAAUCAGGCUACAUUGUGUGGUGCUGAGAAGAGGGCUUCUUUGUGACGGCGUAUGGCAAUCGUGUAUUUGUUCAAGGUGAGAAGUGGAAUACCGUAAGCCUUUCGAUUCCAGAAAUAGGAAGACGAGACGAAACUGAAGGGCACAUUGUUCAUCUUGCUCAUAUUAGUGAGGCGACGAAAUUGUGGGUACGCCAGAAGACGUCUUAGUGAUUAGAUGUUGUUUAUGAUUUUCCAGAAACGUUGUAUGGGUUAUAAUCGAAGAGAGAGAGACCAACUUUAAGAUUGACGAAUGUUGCAGACCCAUCAUAUGUAAUCAAGUGGAGAGACUUGUAGCCGAAUGACGACGUACCUUACGUGGGAAAACCCUUGCGAUGAUAAUUACCCGAAGACGCGAUGAUAACUUUUCAAGACGUAACAUGAUAACUUUUGAAGACAUAACAUGGGAGUCGAGACGAGGUGCAAGACAACUACCCGAAGCUAUUUCUAGGUAUCCUUCUUAGCUUCUUCUUUUAUUUUUGAAUUUGAGGACCAAAUUCUUUUUAUAGGAGUUAAUGGUGUAUCGACACCAAAAUAUCACUUUCAACUUUGGACCCGAACUCAACCCAUUUGAGUGGGAAGUUAGAAUUACGGAGUGCGUGUGCAAUCCUGGUAGAGGAUUUGCAUAGCCAUGGUGAGUGCCCUAAUCCAAUGCAAGUGUUUUACUACUAAAUUGGCUAUCACGUAGUAUUGUUAGGGUGCUUGGCUAGUAAAAGCAAUAGAAAUCUCUAGAAGCAUUAGCAUGGUUGACACGUGACUUAGAAUGCAACAAGGGCGUUUUUGUCUUUUGAUUUUCAAAACCCGAGGAUUUAACUGGAAACAUGCCUCUUUUUCUUUCUUUUCUUUGUUGUGACACCAUCUUCUUCUUUCCCAUUUUCUAUUACUGCUUCACCACGGCUACGAGCAAGAAAGAAGACUUUGUUUUUUUGAAACUCAAUUCGAAUGAAGAAGAAGUUUUGAUUGUUUCAAAUCAAAAUCCCGGCUAAACCCACCUUUUAUUUUGGAGAGGAGUUUGUAUCAUGCAAAGACUCUACUUUAGGAACGUCGGGCCUAAGUGGCACCCCACCACCUCGGUGGCUACCCGGAAGAUCGUUGCGGCAACGAUGGCUGGUAUCCAGAACUACCCUGACGGUGGCACUGACCAUGAAUAAUAGAGUAAAUUUAUUUACAGCUCUAAAUCUUGUUUAAACGGUAUUUGCGUAAGUAUUUAUUUCUCUACUUAAUUAUUGUCGUUGCUCCUUGCUUACGCGUUUAUAUUAGAUGCUCAACUUAUUUAGUUUGAUUUACAUUUUGAUUGCUUUACAAUCGACACGUUAUUUCGUAACCUCUACUGGGCUGUGGGCUCACCCCGUUUUGUUUUGUUUUCCCACAGAGUACGAAGCGAGAUUGAGGCAGUAAGCUUGGAAAGAGCUUACGGCAAGAAGCGUUUGAGCAAAAGCCGGUAUUUUUGCUUGUAUCUCUGAUAUGUAUAUCACGGGGUACCUGGGUUUCGUAUACGAUGGGUCUGGUUUUGGGUGUUGCAACAGUGUUUUUGAAUCCCAUUAGUUGUGAAAUAUCCAUGUACUGCAGGCAUACUCAUUUACGUGUCAUGAAGUGCUCGUUUGAUUUUUUAAAAAACUCUUGAACUUGAUUAAUUUUGCUGUGUUGGAUCAUGGUAUAAAAUAUGCAUAUUUUCUCUACUGUUUUAGCAUACCGUUUGUUAUACACUGAGGCUGUUUUGAACUAAGCUAUUUUUGCGUACAAAAAACUUGGUGUGAAUUGUUGCUUUAUGAAAAUGAAAUAUGAUGUCUUUAAUAUUUCUGCUUCUUAAAAAAGAAUGUACUUAACUCAUUUUAUUCGAAACUGUUGAGUAGUUUUAGUUUGGACUGUGCACAAUGCACUUAAGUUUUACGAUGUGUAAAAUUUUCAUUUCUGUU